ensembl:miRNA
CUGAAUAAAGAACUCUUGCAGUCUUAGAUGUUAUAAAAAAUAUAUAUAUCUGAAUUGUAAGAGUUGUUAGCACAGG